AGUAGAUGGUGUGACAUGGAAGGUGCCGGAGCAGUUGGAGGAAUGGCAGUCAGAGCAAUGUGAAAGUGUUUGUGCCAAUUGGAGUGAUAUGGAAGGCUCCAGAACAUUUGGGGGAAACAACAGUUGGAGUAACGCAGAAGGUUCUGGUGUGGUUGAGGAUGGCAGUUGGAAUGGCACAGAAGGGUCUGUGGCAGUAGGAACAUAACGAGUGAUGCAGAAGGUUCUGGUGUGGUUGAGGAUGGCAGCUGGAAUGGCACAGAAGGGUCUGUGGCAGUAGGAGUGACACAGAAGAUUCCCUGGCAGGACGGAUGCGACAAGUAUACUACUGGUGUAACCCCAACAAAGAGGAUCCGUGGAAGAGAUAAUAUCACCAUAGCCACAUGGAAUGUAAGGACAUUGAGACAGCUAGGGAGGUUGAAAGAACUCACGUACGAAAUGGAACAAUACACCUGGCACCUCCUAAGAAUCUCUGAGGUCCGAUGGAAGAACUUUGGAGAGACACUAACGGAAGAAGGCCAUGUACAUUACAGUGGAGAGGACAAACAUGUCAAUGGUGUAGGAUUUCUUGUACAUAAAGAUAUCAAGAAUUCAGUGUUAGGAUGCCGCCCAAUGUCCAGCAGGCUUAUUUCCAUCUGUCCGUCGACUCCGGAACUCCACCAGAGUGAGCGGCGGUAGCGGAGUCGACAUGGGGAGCUGCGGCCGUCG